GACGAACGCUGGCGGCGUGCUUAACACAUGCAAGUCGAACGGGCCCGCCCCUGUUUUUGGGGGUGGGUUGAGUGGCGAACGGGUGAGUAUCACGUGAGUAACCUGCCCCCUGCUCCUGGAUAACUGCUUGAAAGGGCGGCUAAUACGGGGUGUGCCGGCUGGUCCGCAUGGGCCUGGUCGGGAUAGUUUCAUCUUCGGGUGUUUCGGUGGGGGAUGGGCUCGCGGCCUAUCAGCUUGUUGGUGGGGUGAUGGCCCACCAAGGCGGUGACGGGUAGCCGGCCUGAGAGGGUGGGCGGCCACACUGGGACUGAGACACGGCCCAGACUCCUGCGGGAGGCAGCAGUGGGGGGUAUUGCACAAUGGGCGGAAGCCUGAUGCAGCGACGUCGCGUGAGGGAUGGAGGCCUUCGGGUUGUGAACCUCUUUCUCCGGUGGUGAAGGCCCUGUCCGUUGCGGCGGGGUUGACGGUAGCUGGGUAUGAAGCGCCGGCUAACUACGUG
rnacentral:rRNA from 1 species